UGUAUUUAUUUACCAAUAAACAAUCCACUUAUUUUUAUAAGUAUUUACACAAAAAUUAUAUGAUUCUUCAAUAUAAGUAGCUCCACCCCUAAAUAGGAAGUUUGAUCGAAAGUAAAAGAGAAUUCUUAAAAAGAGGUUUCACAUAUAUAAUCUGCUAACAUCUUCCCAAUUGCUUUCAAUUUCACUUUCUUCAAGUGUAUGCUCCGAUCCAAAGCUCCCAAAUAAGAAAAAAUGUAAAUGUUAGAGAACAAUAUAUAAUUACAUAAAUCAAUCUUGCAUGAUUAGUCAAUAGUUAUUCCUAUCUCCUUAAAACAAACAGUCACCGUCUCAACACUGUCCAACACAAAAGAUUUCAAACGUUAUAAACUAAUAAUUUGCAAGAAAGUAAAUUACACAGAAGAGAUAGGUGGAGAAUCUAAAACUCAAAAGUAGUGGUGAAAGCUAAUUAAUAUUAUCAUGGAUAUGGUGGUCAGUCUGCAAGAAAAAAAUGAAAGAUAUUUUGAAAAUAGAUUUAAUAUUAAUUUUAUUCACAAAAGUAAUACGAAAUUUUUUAGAAUCUUUAUUUUUUGGUAUAAUCGGCUUAGAAUAGAAAAUGCAGAUCAUAGGGAACUUGCAACUUUGAUCUACAUCUUCUAUGAAAAGUUGUUUAUAUCAAAAAAGAAAAGAUACUAAACUAUGUAGAGUCCAUACCCAUUGUAGAUAAACAUAGGAAAAAUGGUUGAAUUUUGUUUGUUGAUUAUUGUUAAAGUCAACAAAUGUUGCAACAAAAUUCAAAGCUCACCAUUUCUUUUUUCAACUAAAAUCUUAGCAAGAUUUCUACAUAGGUGAAAAUGUUAAAAUCUUGUGUUUCUUGUGAUGUCAUUGGUGACAUCAUUAGGAGUAGAUUUUCCUAUAAAUAGAGAGCUCUUGCUCAUUUCAAAAUACACCAAAAAAAGGAAUUACAAAGGAGAGAAAAGAAGAGUGAGGCAUCACAGAAGAAAAUAAUCUGUAUAGAGAGUGUGAGCGGUAUUGUAGUGAGGGGGAAAAAUCAAAAGAGUGUUAUUUCUUUUGAAUGUGUAGUGGUCUUUGGAGUUUUACUCAGACAUACAAGUAUGAAAUCCUUACUAUAGUGAUAUUUGUUGCUCCUCUCGGAUCGUGGUUUUUCCCUUAUUUAGGAGGGUUUCCACGUAAAAUCUUGGUGUCAUUAUUUCUCUUUUAUUCUCGUUGAUUAACCGUAUUGUUGUGUUCCGCAUUUGUUGCCUUUAUUACCGCAAAUAUUAUUUCUGUUACGCAUUUAUUCCCAACAAACUAUUCUAUUUUACUUAGCAAAUGAGACUAGAUCUAUCUUCGAAACAACAACUAUUUUUUUCAAUCCAUUCUAACCAUCAUAUGUAUAAUGGUAUUAGAUUUCACUACUUCUAUUGAAUCUUAGAUCCAUCUCUAUUUUAUGUAAUUUUUCUUUUGCACUAGCUAUUAAUUUAUAAUGCAUGAGAUCUUUUCAGUUAAGCAGUGGAGAGAGGUAGUUGCUGAAAUAAGGAAAUAAGAACAUGACAAAGUUCUAUUUUUUCUAUUCCAUUAUUUGAAACACAAAAUUGAUGUGAGUGAGAAAUUUAAAAUUUAAAGGAACUAAAAGUUCGAAAUUGAAAUGUCUUAAAAGAAUUUUUUGUCUACAUAUGCUAUAGUACUAAUAGUUUAUAAAAAUCAAGACUCGAACCUGCAUCAAGGAGAUAAGGAAUGCCACUAAAAGCAACCAUAUUUUUUCUCGGACGCCUCAAACCUCAUCAGUACCUCUCAAUAGCUCAAGAGACAUAUUACUCAAACAGAUUGCUAUUCUUGCUUGUCAAUUUACAAAUGGUUGCUCUCAGUUUAUACUACUAAUUUAGAGUUAAUAUAUAAAUAAUAAUUGUUGUGUGAGUCCCUAUAUAAUUACAAAUAAGUCUACAUUCUAUAAUACUCCAUACAACUAGGAAAUUCUAAUGUUUUUUUCAUGUAAAUCCAUGAAAUUCUAAUAUCCUUCAAAGAUUUCUCCAUAUAUUUCUAGAGUAUUCUAUGCAACUAGAAUAUUUUAAGGCAUUUUCAUGCAAAUAGAAGGAAUUUCUAAGAUCUUUCAAAAAAAAAUUCCAUAUAUUUCUAGAAUAUUUCAUUAAAAACUGUUUUUUCUUUCAUGUAACUCUUCCAUAUGGACAAUAUAUAAAUAACAAUUGUUAUAUGAGUCCCUACAUAUUUACAAAAUAAGUCUCAAUUCUAGAAUAUUCUACGCAAUUAGACUAUUCUAAGGCCUUUUCAUGCAAAUAGAUAGCAUUUUAAGAUCUUUCAAAGAUUUUCUCUAUGUAUUUCUAGAAUAUUCCACUAAGAAUUGUUUUUCUUUCAAUGUAAGUAUUCUAUAUGGACAAUAUAUAAAUAAGAAUUGUUAUAUGAGUCCCUACAUAUUUACCAAUAAGUCUCAAUUCUAGAAUACUCUACACAACUAAAAUACUUUAAGGCCUUUACAUGUAAAUAGAUGGAAUUCUAAGAUCUUUCAAGGAUUUCUCCAUAUAUUUCUAGAAUAUACUUCACUAAGGACUAUUCUUCUAUCAAUGUAAGUCUUUCAUAUGGUCAAUACAUAAAUAACAAUUGUUAUACGAGUCCCUACAUAUUUACAAAUAAAUCUCCAUUCUAGAAUACUCAACAGAACUAAAAUAUUUUAAUUAAGAAUUUUUCUUGUAAAUCCAUGAAAUUCUUGGAUCUUCCAAACAUUUCUCCAUAUAUUUCUAGAAUGUUCCGUUAAAGCUUACUAUGAACAAAUUUAUGCCACAAACCGGCUAACUGGUAUGAUGACAUGACUAAAUCAUGACAAUAGUUGAUAGGUUUUGUGGAGAAAUAAGAAAAAUCUUCUUUAGUUUUUGGACUUUAGAGUGACAAAGUGUUGGUAUGUGUUGUGGCCUUUUGUCUCACAUAACCAUUGGAUCAUCUCUGGCAUCUACUAGAUAUAAUAAUAUUUUAAUUACCCGUAAACUAUCAUAACUAUACCCCAUUUGGUCUUAACAAUACAAAGAACACUAUCAUAAAAGGAAAAAAAAAGUUCAUUAAAAUUUGGAUUAUUUCAUUUUCAAGUAAUUAAAUUGGCGUAAGUUUUGAUAGUAACAGUGUCAUUAUUUUGUGAUAUACUUUUGUAUUCCUUAAAGGAAAACUUUAAUAACAGUUUACUUCAAUACAAUAGAAGGAGAAAUAGAAGAAAAAGAAUGGUAUUAUGAAUAAAAUUACAAAGAUACAUGAAGUUUCAUGAUUAUUAUGAAACCGGAUGGAGUUUUAUGAAGACACUUGAAAUAGGGGAUUGGUCUAUGGUUAGAGUGUUUGUAAGAUAGGGUUUAGAGAGAAUAGAAUAAGAAUAGAAAAUUAAGUUGAAGUUGAUUGUCUUAAAUAAGAAAAUAAGAAUGAAAUAGAAAAAAUAAUAAUAAAAUGGAAAAUUGAGUUGAACUGAAAAAAUAUAAAAAUCUAGAUUUGAAAAAUAAAACAAAGUUUAAGGUUGAAGAUACCGUUAAUAGAAUAUUCUAGAAAUGUAUGAAGAGAUCUUUGCAAGACAUUAAAAUUUCAUAGUUUUAGAUGAAAGUCCUUAGAAUAUUCUAGUUAUGUAGAGUAUUCUAGAAUAUGGACUUAUUAGUAAAUACAUAAAGACUCACAUAACAAUUAUAAUUUAUACAUUAGCCCUAAUUAGUUGUAUAAAUAGAGAGACAAACAUUUGUAAAUCAACCAACCAAGUAUCAAGCAAUCUCCACAAAAAGCCCUUAUAAACUCUCUAUUUAUUCCUACUCCUGCCUUCCUCCCAAAUCCUUUAACCCCAGAUGAUGUUCAUCCAUGAAACUCAUCAGAGAUUUCCAGAUCUGUAUGGUUACUGAUCAUGGAUCAAUCCAUUUUCAGAUCUUUAAUUGAAUGGUGUAGAUUGAUUCAUUUAAAGAUUGAUCUUCGCAUCUCCUCGAAGAAGGUUCAAAUCUUGAUUUUUAUAAACUACUAGUGUUUCAGUUUAUGCCUUUGCUUUCAUCUUUAUCUGCAUAUACUGAGGAUGAACCAUAAAGUUGAUGUUUAUAUCUACUAGUAUUGUUUAUGAUAUGAAAGUGGAAUUUAUAUCUUGUGUUAGUUUGACUGGAGGCAAUUUCCAAUCUCUCUUGAUUUGCUAUUUUAUGUCCCCUUAUUUUUUUCCUUGAUGUGAACUUCAAUAUGAGUGAAGCAACGCUAAGAUGGUUUAGGCAUGUGUAGAGGAAGUGCGUAGACAUACGGUAAGAAAGUGCAAUACGUUGAUAGCAAGGGUACGUGAAGGGUAGAGGUAAACCAAAAAAGUAUUAAGGAAGUGAUUAGAUCUAACAUAAUACAACUUUAUUUUGUCAAGUACAUGACUCUAGAUAAGGAGUGAGGGUUGAGUAUUUGGAUAGAAGGUUAGUAGGUUGAAGUGUUAUCUUUCAUUGCAAAGGUUUAUGCCUGUUAGGGUAUGUCGUAGUACUUGUUACCCUUGUGAUUCUUGUCAUAUGUUGUUUAUUGUAUUUAGUUAUCGCAUUGUUUUAUUGUUCUUAUAAUUUUUUUCUUGUAAACUUCAUACUACUUUCUUUUUAAUUGUUAUGUUUUCUUCAUUGUUUUUUUCUUUUACUUUGAUUUGAUGUGUUACAGUCAAGAAUUCUUUGAAAAUAAUCUUUCUAACUCCUUGAGGUAGUGGUAAGUUCUGCGUACACUAUACCCUCUCAGGCCCCACUUAGUGGAAAACCACUGUGAAUGUUGUUGUUGUAUAGGAUGUUGAAUGAAUGCAAUUAUGAAAAAAAUAAAGUUACAACAACAAUAUACAUAGUGAAAUUCCACAAGAAGGGUCUUGGAAGGGUAGAGUAUAUGCAAACCUUACCACUACCUCGUGGAGGUAGAGAUGUUUUCAAAAGAGUCUCGGCUCAAGUGCAACAAAUUCUAGUACAAGAAUUAAUAAAACAAUAUAAUAAAACAUAAUAAUUAACCAGGGAAGUGGUGGAAAGCCUACAAGAAUAACAAAAUAAUGUGAUAAUUAAAACUCUAGUAAAAACAUAUGAAGAUAGAUGUCAAAAGCAAGAAGUACAAUAAUACAGCUAAUACAACGACAAACAUAAACUCGUGAAAAGCAAGAGAACACUCCACUACCUUCCACCCUAGUACCUAUCCUCCAGACUCUCUUAUCUAAGGUCAUGUCCUCGACAACUUGAAGGUGUGUCAUGUCAUAUCUAAUCACCUAUCUCCAACACUUCUUUGACCUACCUCUCCCCAUACCUAGUAUGACCAACUUUUUGCACCUCCUUAGUAAACGUUUGCACAUCUCUUCACAUUUCAAAACCAUCUCAAUCAAACUUCCCUCGUCAAAGAAAGUUACAAAGUGCAAAAUAACACAAUACCAUACUCUUUUUUUUUUGGGAAGGGGUGGUUACUCCAUAUCAAAGCAAAUAGUUAUUUCAAACAACCAUAAAUUAGUUUAAAGUUUGAACCAUAUACCGGACCUGUAUAGUUUGUAGAUGUUUGAUUCACAGCAGCAAGAGAUGGGAGAUAACUUAGUUUGAAGCAUAUAGCAAACCUCAUAAAUCCAAGUGUCUAAGUAUUUAUGGUGAUAGUUUUAAAAAUUACCAAACAUAGUAAAUCCCUAACAACUAUUGAUUGAUUAGGGCUGUUAUAUCAACUUAUAAUCUAAGCUUUAUUUUACUUGUAUUUGUUGCUACACAAGAUUGAUAUAUGUUGUUAUAUAUAUUGCUCUCUAACAUUUACAUUGCUUCUUAUUUGGGAGCUACACUUGAAGAAAGUGAAAAUUGGGAGCAAUUGGGAAGAUGUUAGCAGAUUAUAUCUAUGAAGUCUCCUUUCAAGAGUUCUCUUUUACUUCCGAUCAAAGAGAACUACAGUGUUAUGUGGUGAAAGAGUUUGGACGAAUUCAAUUACUUCUGUGUAACUUCUAUAUUUUUAUUAGAAAAUCGAAUAACUAUACAGAAUAUUCAUUGAUAGUUGCAAUGGAGCUUGAAAUUUACCUAUCAAACUGUUGAAUUUUGAAUUAUUAUGGGUAGAUGGUCUCGAGUUUGAAACAAUGCAGAGGACGAGAAAUAUGAGCUGGUGUGAUAUUUGCAGAAUCCAAAUCUUCCUUGUAUUUGUAUUCUGCACAUCAAUUCAUAAAAUUUAUAUAGAUAACAUGUUUAGGUUAGAGGAAUCAUAAUUAGGAGUUUUGUGCUGGAAGCGGUAACUGAUUGUUUUGUAAAAUAAUUGGGUUGUGCAUAAUAUAUGUUAAUGACUAUAGUAGAAGUUUGUUUGAA